UUGAACGCUGGGCGGCAUGCCUUACACAUGCAAGUCGAACGGUAACGCGGGGCAACCUGGCCGACGAGUGGCGAACGGGUGAGUAUAUAUCGGAACGUGCCCAGUAGUGGGGGAUAGCUCGGCGAAAGCCGGAUUAAUACCGCAUACGACCUACGGGUGAAAGCGGGGGACCGCAAGGCCUCGCGCUAUUGGAGCGGCCGAUGUCAGAUUAGGUUGUUGGUGAGGGUAAUGAGCUCACCAAGCCGACGAUCUGUAGCUGGUCUGAGAGGACGACCAGCCACACUGGGACUGAGAACACGGCCCAGACCUCCUACGGGAGGCAGCAGUGGGGAAUUUUGGACAAUGGGGGCAACCCUGAUCCAGCCAUGCCGCGUGCGGAAAGAAGGCCUUCGGGUUGUAAACCGCUUUUGUCGGGGAAGAAAUCUUCCGGGCUAAUACCUCGGGAGGAUGACGGUACCCGAAGAAUAAGCACCGGCUAACUACGUGCCAGCAGCCGCGGUAAUACGUAGGGUGCAAGCGUUAAUCGGAAUUACUGGGCGUAAAGGGCGCGUAGGCGGCCUGCCAAGUCGAACGUGAAAUCCCCGGGCUCAACCCGGGAACUGCGUCCGAUACUGGCAGGCUCGAAUUCGGGAGAGGGAUGCGGAAUUCCAGGUGUAGCGGUGAAAUGCGUAGAUAUCUGGAGGAAUCACCGGUGGCCGAAGGCGGCAUCCUGGACCGAUAUUGACGCUGAGGCGCGAAAGCCAGGGGAGCAAACGGGAUUAGAUACCCCGGUAGUCCUGGCCCUAAACGAUGAAUGCUUGGUGUGGCGGGUAUCGAUCCCUGCCGUGCCGAAGCUAACGCAUUAAGCAUUCCGCCUGGGGAGUACGGGUCGCAAGGCUGAAACUCAAAGGAAUUGACGGGGGCCCGCACAAGCGGUGGAGCAUGUGGUUUAAUUCGACGCAACGCGAAGAACCUUACCCAGGCUCGAACGGCAUCUGACAUCCUACGAAAGUAGGCUCUCCGCAAGGGCAGGUGUCGAGGUGCUGCAUGGCUGUCGUCAGCUCGUGUCGUGAGAUGUUGGGCUUAAGUCCCGCAACGAGCGCAAACCCUUGUCUUCUGUUGACCAUCGGGUUAUGCCGGGCAACUCUGAAGAGACUGCCGGUGACAAACCGGAGGAAGGUGGGGAUGACGUCAAGUCGCAUGGCCUUUAUGUCUGGGGCCACCACACGUGCUACAAUGGCCGGUACAAACCGUCGCGAUCUCGCAAGAGGGAGCUAAUCGGAGAAAACCGGUCUCAGUUCGGAUUGUAGGCUGCAACUCGCCUGCAUGAAGUUGGAAUCGCUAGUAAUCGCGGAUCCGCAAGCCCGCGGUGAAUACGUUCCCGGGCCUGUACACACCGCCCGUCACAUCACGAAGCUGGCUGUACUAGAAGUGGUCCGAGCUAACCCGACACGGGAGGCAGGUCCUAAGGUAUGGUCAGUGAUUGGGGUG
rnacentral:rRNA from 1 species